GACGAACGCUGGCGGCGUGCUUAACACAUGCAAGUCGAACGAAGAGCGAUGGAAGCUUGCUUCUAUCAAUCUUAGUGGCGAACGGGUGAGUAACGCGUAAUCAACCUGCCCUUCAGGGGGGGACAACAGUUGGAAACGACUGCUAAUAUCGCAUACGAUCUAACCUCGGCAUCGAGGAUAGAUGAAAGGUGGCCUCUACAUGUAAGCUAUCACUGAAGGAGGGGAUUGCGUCUGAUUAGCUAGUUGGAGGGGUAACGGCCCACCAAGGCGAUGAUCAGUAGCCGGUCUGAGAGGAUGAACGGCCACAUUGGGACUGAGACACGGCCCAGACUCCUACGGGAGGCAGCAGUGGGGAAUCUUCCGCAAUGGACGAAAGUCUGACGGAGCAACGCCGCGUGAGUGAUGACGGCCUUCGGGUUGUAAAGCUCUGUUAAUCGGGACGAAAGGCCUUCUUGCGAAUAGUUAGAAGGAUUGACGGUACCGGAAUAGAGAGCCACGGCUAACUACGUG
rnacentral:rRNA from 1 species